rnacentral:rRNA from 1 species
UACGUAGGGUGCGAGCGUUUGUCCGGAAUUACUGGGCGUAAAGAGCUCGUAGGCGGUUUGUCGCGUCGUCCGUGAAAACUUGGGGCUCAACCCCAAGCUUGCGGGCGAUACGGGCAGACUUGAGUACUGCAGGGGAGACUGGAAUUCCUGGUGUAGCGGUGAAAUGCGCAGAUAUCAGGAGGAACACCGGUGGCGAAGGCGGGUCUCUGGGCAGUAACUGACGCUGAGGAGCGAAAGCGUGGGUAGCGAACAGG